ACACAUAAACACAUUGUCAAGAGAUUUCUUCUGGCAGUAUUACGAGAUUUCGUAAGAGUUUUUAUUUAUAUCUACCAUAUUCUUUAAUUUACUUCUCAUAUUGUGUCAGAAUGCAUAUUGCAGGUCCUCAUAAGGAGCUAGUAUUUUGCACAGGAACGUUUGCAGUCUGGUUUGAUGCUUUCUCUGGUUGGGAAAUAAGUUAGCGUCUUAGCGACAGUUCAAACUAAACUUUGUAAUGUUGAUGCUUUACAAUUUUACAUGUUUGCUACGCCAAUCUACAUACCUAAUUCUAUGUUUGCUUGUGAUCAACCAAGGAAGAAAUCAUGUUUUCAUAAUCUGCUCUCUUCAAAAUGAUAUCCAGCAUGUUUCCUUUCAUUCUCUCACGUUAAAUUAUGUGCUCAGAACAGAUAAAACUGCAGUUACUGGCUAAUCAAACACGCUUGAUUAGAAUAUUCACAUAUUUUUAUUGCUGUGUGAGCGUUGGCUUGUAUGUGUGUCUAGUAAGUACUUUGUCGUUCCUUUUAUUUUUAGGAUAAGAGAUUGUUGCACUGGGGGGUGCUUUAACUUGCAUCAUGACCUUUUUUUCCCAACUAUAUCAGAAUGACCUUGCUCAUCUUCUGUUAUACAGAUCCUUAUGUAGGCGAGAAACAGCAAUCAGUUAAAUUUGAGAAUCAACCACUGCAAAUUAGUAAGUUAUAGUUGCUCUAAACUGAUAAUUUUCAGUGUUUAUAUAUUACUUAUGGGGUAGAAAAAUGUAAUUCUUUUUAUGUACUUAUCAUGGGGAAGAAAUUUACUUAUAAAUGGACAUGUAUAUCUGACUAUUUACCAACACAAUUGAUAUAGGACAGAGGAAAUACAACUAAAUUCAUAUUCCUUGGCUCUGAGAGGGGUGAACAUAUGUCUUCUUGUUAUCAUCUCCCUUUGUUGGAGUAAAAUUGUGGAUCAAUAACUUAAAUGCUCGUUGUGGAAUCAAAUUAUGUUACAUUCUUGUCAGGUUUUUUGUGAUACCCUAUGACCCUAUUACUGACUACUGAUCAGGACCUCAAGCCCCAAGAAAAAGGAAAAUUUUGAGGAUGAGUGGUUUCAUCAACACUCUUCUUAAGUUUUAGGUCGUCUUCCUUUUCUGGAUUUCUUGUUUUAUUGGUCUAUUUUUCAUUCUUCAGUAUGAGUUGUCUUGAAAGGCAAAAACAUUUUUGUACAAGUCACACGUCUUUGUACAAAUCACAUGAGGGCCUUACCAAAAUCCUAACUGGAGAUGAUGAGUUAAAGAUAAUGAUGUUACAUUUAAAAUUCUUGCAGAUUAAUUGAGAGCUGGUAAUGGUAUUCAGUAUUCUGUGGUUACGAUUAUGUUUUAUGCAUCAGUUUAACAUUAGCAAGCUGUGGGUGGAUUCUCAAGUCUAUGGUUUUUGAAAUGCCACUAAGAAUAUUGCUUUGCAAAUUGCAGGUGGUGAGCAUUUUGC
rnacentral:lncRNA from 1 species